ACGGGAGGCAGCAGUGAGGAAUAUUGGUCAAUGGGCGAGAGCCUGAACCAGCCAAGUAGCGUGCAGGACGACGGCCCUAUGGGUUGUAAACUGCUUUUGUCGGGGAAUAAAGUCAGGAACGUGUUCCUGUUUGCAUGUACCCGAAGAAUAAGGACCGGCUAAUUCCGUGCCAGCAGCCGCGGUAAUACGGAAGGUCCGGGCGUUAUCCGGAUUUAUUGGGUUUAAAGGGAGCGCAGGCUGCCUUUUAAGCGUGCUGUGAAAUGUAGGCGCUCAACGUCUGCACUGCAGCGCGAACUGGAAGGCUUGAGUACGCGGGAAGUAGGCGGAAUUCGUCGUGUAGCGGUGAAAUGCUUAGAUAUGACGAAGAACUCCGAUUGCGAAGGCAGCUUACUGUAGCGCCACUGACGCUAAAGCUCGAAAGUGCGGGUAUCGAACAGGAUUAGAUACCCUGGUA
rnacentral:rRNA from 1 species